rnacentral:ncRNA from 19 species
GGGAAUCCGGUGCGAAUCCGGAACUGUCCCGCAACGGUGUACUUGUGCACGUCUGUUCCUUCUGUUCCCGGAACAGCCAUGCCCAGGAGUCAGUCCGAGGACC